rnacentral:misc_RNA from 1 species
CGCGUGCUCUGUGGAGGAGCCGCCCCCGCUGGGGAGUACCGGAGCACAAGCGCUCGGCUGGUUUGUUGUGGUCUCCAGUGGGCUGUCAGCACCGUGUAUUACUCUAACACCAAAAUGACAAUUUACAACUUCUACCUGUUUGAUCGUGAAGGCCAGCUUCUGCAUUAUGCUGAAUGGAUACGCAAGAAGCAGUCUGGAAUGGCAAGAGAUGAGGAAGCUAAGCUGAUGUAUGGAAUGAUAUUCUCUAUCAAAUCAUUUGUUACAAAGGUCUCCCCUGUGGAUCUGCGAGAGGGCUACCUUACAUACACCACCAACAAGUACCGCCUCAACCUUUACGAGACACCAUCACGAUACAAGUUCAUCCUUAAUACUGAUAUCCAUGCUCAGGGUAUAAAAGAGCUUCUUCAUCAGAUAUACACACAAGUGUUCGUGGAGUAUGUAGUCUGCAAUCCACUAUGUCCACUCACUAAACCUAUUGAGAGUGAAUUAUUUGCUGCUAAACUUGAAGAAGUUGUUAAACAAAGUCCUGCAUAUGCAUCAAGACCAGCAUAAGCAUGGUAAAGCAAUAAUUUUGGAAGUCCUCAUUCUAAGAAAGUGAAGAUACUGUGUGAACAUCUUCAAUGAAGAUAUUGUAUUGUAAUUAUUGGUGAUUAUUGUACGAGAUGGGAGGGUAUGUCCUCCCAUGUCUGCUGCCUGUGGAGUUGGUGAUGGGGUGAAGAAAUGUGAAGGAGUAAGGAUUUACUGUACAAGAAAUUCAUUGUGUAAUUUUUCAUAAGGUAUAAUAUUGCACCAGGAGUGUACAACAGGGACUUUUGGUUUAGAUAAUUUAAUAGAACACAUUGCUGUAUCUAAUCUACAUUUUCUGUUUAGUUAAAGUUCAUUGGCUAAUGUUUAGUUAAAUAUAUUAAUAUGCUUGACUUAAUUCAUGGAACUCUUGAUAAAAAUGAAAACCCCAUAGGUUUUGUGUUGACACCAUUCACCACAAUAACCUCAAACUGAAGCACUAUGGAGUCAGGGGUCUAUACUUGUGAUCUUACAUCAGUGAUGGGCACAAGCAUGUUUUUGUGAACAAAGCUACUUCUCCCACAAUGCCAAUUAACAUUGCCAUUCCUCAGGUAAGAAAAAAUCCCCUUGCAGCUUCUCGUAUAUCGCUGCUACAUCAACCAUGGACGAACCUACAUCGUGCUACAUGGGGGGUUCAUAAGAUAUAUUUAGCCCAUACCUCUUUCUUACAUCAUUGACCUACCAAAUGCCCUACAACACUUUUAACCAUUUCGAUUUGCUAACAUUUUCUCAAAUAUACAGUAUACUCACUUAUACUGAUAAUGAAUAAAAAAUAAAAAAAUGCAUUUUUGGUUGACUACUAACACUCACCCUUAACAAUGAAUCAACAUACUACAGAAUUUGGAAAUAAAUAUAUGAAAAUAUAUUAAGAAUUGACAAUGCCCAAAUUUAGAGUAGAGUAGUUUAUAAAUUCCUUGGUGUUCACAUUAGGAAACCAAAUUUCAAUUGCCAUUUACAAAAUGUAAUACCUUCUGAAGCAGUAGGCAUCCUACUUCUUCAUGCUUUCUUACCUUCUCUACCUUAGUAAUACUACUAUUCACUGAUUUGUCCAUAUAUCACCUAUGGUAUCCGAGUCGGGGGGGGCGGUGGGGGAUCUAUAACCCAUAAUUACCUUCAACCGAUAAUUACUAGACAAAUCAGCAAUUAGAACAAUAAACUAAUCCCAGACGGCAUUUAGCAGCCUUACUGACAUCCUUAAAUAUAUUAAAUAUUAAGUCGCUGCACAUACUCGUAUACUCUUAUACUGGUAUUUAUAAAACUCUGAACUGCAGUACUAAUCCUGAGCUGAAACACUUCCUAAAAGGGCUGUAUUGGAUCCCAUGAAUACUACAUAGAAACAAAUGUCUAAUUGAUAUUCCAAGAGUGUAGCUUAACAAAGCAGAACUGUCAUGAAAAUUAAGGGUCCUAAACUGUGGAAUGAUCUUCCUAAUGAGAUUAAAAACUGUACUUCCUUUAAGUUUAAAUGAGAAACCAAGAAAUACAUACCGUAAUUAAUCAUUUGCACUCGCAUUUCCUCAUCCUACAAGUCAACUUUUGUUUUGUUGUUAUUGUGAAUAUUAAAUAUUAUAUACUCUGUACUAUUGCAAUAACUACAGUUUUUAUGUCAUCUAUGCCUUUUAAAUAUCAUUUACAAAUUUUAAAUCAUUUGCUAAAUAUAUUUCACACUUCAAAUGUUAGAUUACUACUACAGUAUGUUUAAUUGGAUAACACUUAGUACUGAACAAGAUUAUCUAAUUAUGUUAUAUCUGAAACACACUACAUAUUAAGUGGCUUUAUAUAAUUUACAUUGUGUAUCUACAAACCACUAUCAUGUUUCAAAUGUAUUUUAUGUAAAUAAAAGUUAAUAAUACUGUA